CCUACGGAGUGCAGCAGUGGGGAAUAUUGGACAAUGGGCGAAAGCCUGAUCCAGCCAUGCCGCGUGUGUGAAGAAGGCCUUCGGGUUGUAAAGCACUUUCAGUGGGGAAGAAAGCCUUGGGGCUAAUACCCUCGAGGAAGGACAUCACCCACAGAAGAAGCACCGGCUAACUCCGUGCCAGCAGCCGCGGUAAUACGGAGGGUGCGAGCGUUAAUCGGAAUUACUGGGCGUAAAGCGCGCGUAGGCGGUCUGAUAAGCCGGUUGUGAAAGCCCCGGGCUCAACCUGGGAACGGCAUCCGGAACUGUCAGACUAGAGUGCAGGAGAGGAAGGUAGAAUUCCCGGUGUAGCGGUGAAAUGCGUAGAGAUCGGGAGGAAUACCAGUGGCGAAGGCGGCCUUCUGGACUGACACUGACGCUGAGGUGCGAAAGCGUGGGUAGCAAACAGGAUUAGAUACCCGGGUAGUC
rnacentral:rRNA from 1 species